rnacentral:rRNA from 1 species
GACGAACGCUGGCGGCGUGCUUAACACAUGCAAGUCGAACGAUGAAGCUAGAGCUUGCUCUGGUGAAUUAGUGGCGAACGGGUGAGUAACACGUGAGUAACCUGCCCCGAACUCUGGGAUAACUGCUGGAAACGGUAGCUAAUACUGGAUACGACCUACGAAGGCAUCUUCUGUAGGUGGAAAGAAUUGCGGUUCGGGAUGGACUCGCGGCCUAUCAGCUUGUUGGUGAGGUAAAGGCUCACCAAGGCGACGACGGGUAGCCGGCCUGAGAGGGUUACCGGCCACACUGGGACUGAGACACGGCCCAGACUCCUACGGGAGGCAGCAGUGGGGAAUAUUGCACAAUGGGCGCAAGCCUGAUGCAGCAACGCCGCGUGAGGGAUGACGGCCUUCGGGUUGUAAACCUCUUUUAGUAGGGAAGAAGCGAAAGUGACGGUACCUGCAGAAAAAGCACCGGCUAACUACGUGCCAGCAGCCGCCGUAA